AUUUAUCACUUGCUAUGGCAUCAACAACAGGGAAAAGUCCAGCGUCUAUGUCUCCUUCUUGAUCAUUCAUAUCCACCAGCAUACAGUAGAAAAACGAUUCCUGUUUAUUUUAUCUUGUCCUACUUCAUGUGUAUGUCUGAAUGAAGCCUGGUCUUUCCGUGCAGCAUCAGAGCUUUCCGAACUUGGGUCCUCUCAUCAGAAGAAAAGGAAAACCCACCUUUAUCCAUAAAAGGAGGAGGAGACUGAGUCAAGAUUAAGCAAUUUAAACUGCUGCAGCCAGUAAGUGCCAGACCUGAGUUUUGAAACCAUGU
rnacentral:lncRNA from 1 species